rnacentral:rRNA from 1 species
CAAUAGCGUAUAUUAAAGUUGUUGCGGUUAAAAAGCUCGUAGUUGGAUUUCUGCCGAGGACGACCGGUCCGCCCUCUGGGUGAGUAUCUGGCUCGGCCUGGGCAUCUUCUUGGAGAACGUAGCUGCACUUGACUGUAUGGUGCGGUAUCCAGGACUUUUACUUUGAGGAAAUUAGAGUGUUUAAAGCAGGCCUUUGCCUUGAAUACAUUAGCAUGGAAUAAUAAGAUAGGACCGUUGUCUAUUUUGUUGGUUUACAGAUGUCGGUAAUGAUUAAUAGGGAUAGUUGGGGGUAUUCGUAUUCAGUUGUCAGAGGUGAAAUUCUUGGAUUUUCGGAAGACGCACGACUGCGAAAGCAUUUACCAAGGAUGUUUUCAUUAA